rnacentral:misc_RNA from 1 species
UACGUAGGCGGCAAGCGUUAUCCGGAUUUACUGGGCGUAAAGCGAGUGUAGGCGGUUUAUCAAGUCUUUUUUGAAAGCGUCCCGCUUAACGGGAUUGUUGGAAAAGAUACUGAUAAACUUGAGUCGUAUAAGGAUAACUGGAACUCUCGGUGUAGGGGUGAAAUCCGAUGAUAUCGAGAGGAACACCAAGGGCGAAGGCAGGUUAUUGGGUACGUACUGACGCUGAGACUCGACAGCUCGGGGAGCGAAAGGG